rnacentral:SRP_RNA from 1 species
GCCAGUGGGACAUGCCUAUAUUCUGAGCUACUGGGGAGGCUGAGGCAGGAGGAUCACUUGAAUCCAGCAGUUCUGGGCUAUAGUGUGUGUCUGCACUAAGUCCGACAUCAAUAUGGUGACCUCUCAGGAUUGGGGACCACCAGAUUGCCGAAGGAGGGUUGAACCAGCCCAGGUCAGAAACAGAGCAGGUAAAAACUCCCGGGAUGAUCAUUAUUUCAUUCUUUAAUACAUUAUUGUAUGCCAUGUUUUUUAACCCAUUCAUUAGCUUACU